rnacentral:rRNA from 1 species
CUAAUACAUGCAAGUCGAGCGAAUGGAUUGAGAGCUUGCUCUCAUGAAGUUAGCGGCGGACGGGUGAGUAACACGUGGGUAACCUGCCCAUAAGACUGGGAUAACUCCGGGAAACCGGGGCUAAUACCGGAUAACAUUUUGAACUGCAUGGUUCGAAAUUGAAAGGCGGCUUCGGCUGUCACUUAUGGAUGGACCCGCGUCUCAUUAGCUAGUUGGUGAGGUAACGGCUCACCAAGGCAACGAUGCGUAGCCGACCUGAGAGGGUGAUCGGCCACACUGGGACUGAGACACGGCCCACACUCCUACGGGAGGCAGCAGUAGGGAAUCUUCCGCAAUGGACGAAAGUCUGACGGAGCAACGCCGCGUGAGUGAUGAAGGCUUUCGGGUCGUAAAACUCUGUUGUUAGGGAAGAACAAGUGCUAGUUGAAUAAGCUGGCACCUUGACGGAACCUAACCAGAAAGCCACGGCUAACUACGUGCCAGCAGCCGCGGUAAUACGUAGGUGGCAAGCGUUAUCCGGAAUUAUUGGGCGUAAAGCGCGCGCAGGUGGUUUCUUAAGUCUGAUGUGAAAGCCCACGGCUCAACCGUGGAGGGUCAUUGGAAACUGGGAGACUUGAGUGCAGAAGAGGAAAGUGGAAUUCCAUGUGUAGCGGUGAAAUGCGUAGAGAUAUGGAGGAACACCAGUGGCGAAGGCGACUUUCUGGUCUGUAACUGACACUGAGGCGCGAAAGCGUGGGGAGCAAACAGGAUUAGAUACCCUGGUAGUCCACGCCGUAAACUA